AGACUCACAUAGAGGCAGCAGUAGAGAAUCUUGUGCAAUAAACGAAAGUAUGACACAGAGAGGACACAUUUAAUUGAGCCCGUCAAAUUAAGUGCCAGCCGACGCGGUUAAACUUAAGGGCUGGUCUUUAUAAGUAAAAAGGCGUAAAGGAUGUGUAGGCCAAGAAACAAUCAAAGUAGGUAAAUGGAAUUUUUCUGGAGCGGUAGAAUGUGAGGAUAGAAAAUAGAACCCCUAAGGUAAAAACUAUUUACCACAAGGUAGGCUGAAACAUGAGAGUGUGGGGAGCAAACAGGAUUAGAGACCCUGGUAGUCCACACUGUAAACUUUGAAGAUGAUGCUUAGCAGACCCGAAAGGUAAAAUCUUCCGCCUGAGUAGUACGAUCGCAAGAUUAAAAUUCAAAAACUUUGGCUGUUCACUAUUUCGAUUAGAGGAGCGUGUAGUUUAAUUCGAUGGUCCGCGUGUUACCUUACCCCAACUUGAAUCUGUGACCGGUAUUGCAUGGCCGUCGUAAGUUCGUGUAUUAAGCUAGAAGGGACCCAACCCGGGCAUUUGCCCGGAGGAAGUCAGGUCUUAUGAUCCGAAUGUUGGGGGAUUUUAUGCGCUACAUUUUCUUAUAUAAUGGGAAACCUGAAAGGUGAGCCUCUAAAGUAAGAGUUCGGAAGGUCGCUGUAAGACGACUGGAAGUUGGAUUUAAUAGUAAUCGGAAAGUAGGGCGUUCCGGUGAAUUGGUACAAGUGUUAGCACAAAUUGCCCGUCACCUUUACCUAGAAUGGUUANUCGGACGUCUUCGGUGAUACGAAUGCCUACGAGGUAAAGCAG
rnacentral:rRNA from 1 species